rnacentral:rRNA from 1 species
GACGAACGCUGGCGGCGUGCUUAACACAUGCAAGUCGAACGGAAAGGCCCUGAUUUUGUGGGGUGCUCGAGUGGCGAACGGGUGAGUAACACGUGAGUAACCUGCCCUUGACUUUGGGAUAACUUCAGGAAACUGGGGCUACUACCGGAUAGGAGCUCCUGCUGCAUGGUGGGGGUUGGAAAGUUUCGGCGGUUGGGGAUGGACUCGCGGCUUAUCAGCUUGUUAGUGGGGUAGUGGCUUACCAAGGCUUUGACGGGUAGCCGGCCUGAGAGGGUGACCGGCCUCAUGGGGACUGAGGGAGGGCGCAGACUGCUACGGUAGGCAGCAGGGGGGAAUAUGGCACAAUGGGCGGGAGCCGGAUGCGGCAACGCCGCGUUCGGAAAGACGGCCUUCGGGUUGUAAACCGCUUUCGCCUGUGACGAAGCGUGAGUGACGGUAAUGAGUAAAGAAGCACCGGCUAACUACGUG